GCGAAUCGGAUGCCAACUUCAGCGUCGUCAGUGUGCUUGCGUGUGCGUGUGCGUGUGUGCAACCCCAAGAAGGGCCGUCGUGCAGAGCGUACGGUGCUCACCUGCUCGAUGGACCGCUUGGGAACCCUCUUCUGCAACCACUCAUAGUCGAUGUCCGGCUCGACGCGACGGUGCCGCUUGAGCCACUCGAGGCCCUUCAGCAACCUGCGCUGCUCGGUGACCCCCCAGGAGUGCUUUGGGGCCGGGAGAUGGAGCUUCUGACGCAGGAGGGGGACUUGCAGACCAGCAGAUUGUUCGGACCUGGGCUCUCAACUCUGUGGGUCUGCCCAGCAGCUGACAUUGCAGCAGGGAGCGUCUGGGGGGGAGAUAUUUUGGAAUAUCAGCUGGAAGAACAGUUGUUCUACUGCACACGUGUUCCUCGAACCACAGCGUAAUAAAAAUAUACUAC